GAGAGCCACGUGAUAUCGAAAGAGUCAAGCGUGGUUCGGAGGGGGGCCGUUGGAAAAGUGCCGACCUACGUCGAUAACUCGCUGGCGGCCUACCCUAC
rnacentral:ncRNA from 1 species